rnacentral:rRNA from 1 species
GUUGUUGGGUAGGGGAGCGUUCUGUAAGCCGUUGAAGGUGGCCUGUGAGGGUUGCUGGAGGUAUCAGAAGUGCGAAUGCUGACAUAAGUAACGAUAAUGCGGGUGAAAAACCCGCACGCCGGAAGACCAAGGGUUCCUGUCCAACGUUAAUCGGGGCAGGGUGAGUCGACCCCUAAGGCGAGGCCGAAAGGCGUAGUCGAUGGGAAACAGGUUAAUAUUCCUGUACUUGGUGUUACUGCGAAGGGGGGACGGAGAAGGCUAUGUUGGCCGGGCGACGGUUGUCCCGGUUUAAGCGUGUAGGUGUGUGUUCCAGGUAAAUCCGGUUCACUUUAACACUGAGGCGUGAUGACGAGGCACUACGGUGCUGAAGUGACAAAUGCCCUGCUUCCAGGAAAAGCCUCUAAGCAUCAGGUAACAUCAAAUCGUACCCCAAACCGACACAGGUGGUCAGGUAGAGAAUACCAAGGCGCUUGAGAGAACUCGGGUGAAGGAACUAGGCAAAAUGGUGCCGUAACUUCGGGAGAAGGCACGCUGAUAUGUAGGUGAAGUGGUUUACCCAUGGAGCUGAAAUCAGUCGAAGAUACCAGCUGGCUGCAACUGUUUAUUAAAAACACAGCACUGUGCAAACACGAAAGUGGACGUAUACGGUGUGACGCCUGCCCGGUGCCGGAAGGUUAAUUGAUGGGGUUAUCCGUAAGGAGAAGCUCUUGAUCGAAGCCCCGGUAAACGGCGGCCGUAACUAUAACGGUCCUAAGGUAGCGAAAUUCCUUGUCGGGUAAGUUCCGACCUGCACGAAUGGCGUAAUGAUGGCCAGGCUGUCUCCACCCGAGACUCAGUGAAAUUGAACUCGCUGUGAAGAUGCAGUGUACCCGCGGCAAGACGGAAAGACCCCGUGAACCUUUACUAUAGCUUGACACUGAACACUGGUCCUUGAUGUGUAGGAUAGGUGGGAGGCUUUGAAGUGUGGACGCCAGUCUGCAUGGAGCCAUCCUUGAAAUACCACCCUUUAAUGGCUGGUGUUCUAACGUGGGCCCGUAAUCCGGGUUGCGGACAGUGUCUGGUGGGUAGUUUGACUGGGGCGGUCUCCUCCUAAAGAGUAACGGAGGAGCACGAAGGUCAGCUAAUCCUGGUCGGACAUCAGGAGGUUAGUGCAAUGGCAUAAGCUGGCUUGACUGCGAGCGUGACGGCGCGAGCAGGUGCGAAAGCAGGUCAUAGUGAUCCGGUGGUUCUGAAUGGAAGGGCCAUCGCUCAACGGAUAAAAGGUACUCCGGGGAUAACAGGCUGAUACCGCCCAAGAGUUCAUAUCGACGGCGGUGUUUGGCACCUCGAUGUCGGCUCAUCACAUCCUGGGGCUGAAGUAGGUCCCAAGGGUAUGGCUGUUCGCCAUUUAAAGUGGUACGCGAGCUGGGUUUAGAACGUCGUGAGACAGUUCGGUCCCUAUCUGCCGUGGGCGCUGGAGAAUUGAGGGGGGCUGCUCCUAGUACGAGAGGACCGGAGUGGACGCAUCACUGGUGUUCGGGUUGUCAUGCCAAUGGCAUUGCCCGGUAGCUAAAUGCGGAAGAGAUAAGUGCUGAAAGCAUCUAAGUACGAAACUUGCCCCGAGAUGAGUUCUCCCUGACUCCUUGAGAGUCCUGAAGGAACGUUGAAGACGACGACGUUGAUAGGCCGGGUGUGUAAGCGCAGCGAUGCGUUGAGCUAACCGGUACUAAUGAACCGUGAGGCUUAACCUU